UGGUACCAAAUGAUGUUAAAGAAGGACAUUUUGCUGUAUUUUCAGUAAAUUCAGAGGAAGAUCCAAAGAGGUUUAUUGUGGAAUUAUGUUGGCUUACUGAUCCAUCAUUCUUGGAAUUAUUAAAACAAACUGAAGAUGAAUAUGGAUUUGGACAAAAGGGUGUUCUUGAAGUUCAUUGUCUCGCCG